UACAGAGGGUGCGAGCGUUAAUCGGAAUUACUGGGCGUAAAGCGUGCGUAGGCGGUCGUGUAAGUCGGGUGUGAAAGCCCCGGGCUCAACCUGGGAAUUGCAUUCGAGACUGCACGGCUGGAGUGAGGAAGAGGGAAGCGGAAUUUCCGGUGUAGCGGUUAAAUGCGUAGAUAUCGGAAGGAACAUCAGUGGCGAAAGCUGCUUCCUGGUCCAGUACUGACGCUCAGGCACGAAAGCGUGGGGAGCAAACAGG
rnacentral:rRNA from 1 species